AGAGUUUGAUCCUGGCUCAGGAUGAACGCUGGCGGCGUGCCUAACACAUGCAAGUCGAGCGAGAAAUUAUCAAUUGAGUCUUCGGACAAGAGAGAUAAUGGAGAGCGGCGGACGGGUGAGUAACGCGUGGGUAACCUACCUCUAACAACGGGGUAACGCAUUGAAAAGUGUGCUAAUACCGUAUAAGACCACACCAAGGCAUCUUGGAGUGGUAAAAACUCCGGUAGUAAGAGAUGGACCCGCGUCUGAUUAGCUAGUAGGUAGUGUAAUGGACUACCUAGGCAACGAUCAGUAGCCGGCCUGAGAGGGUGAACGGUCACAUUGGGACUGAGACACGGCCCAAACUCCUACGGGAGGCAGCAGUGGGGAAUAUUGCACAAUGGGCGAAAGCCUGAUGCAGCAACGCCGCGUGAAGGAAGAAGGUUUUNGGAUCGUAAACUUCUAUCAGCAAGGAAGAUAGGGAC
rnacentral:rRNA from 1 species